UAGGGAAUCUUCGGCAAUGGACGAAAGUCUGACCGAGCAACGCCGCGUGAGUGAAGAAGGUUUUCGGAUCGUAAAACUCUGUUGUUAGAGAAGAACAAGGACGUUAGUAACUGAACGUCCCCUGACGGUAUCUAACCAGAAAGCCACGGCUAACUACGUGCCAGCAGCCGCGGUAAUACCUAGGUGGCAAGCGUUGUCCGGAUUUAUUGGGCGUAAAGCGAGCGCAGGCGGUUUCUUAAGUCUGAUGUGAAAGCCCCCGGCUCAACCGGGGAGUGUCAUUGGAAACUGGGAGACUUGAGUGCAGAAGAGGAGAGUGGAAUUCCAUGUGUAGCGGUGAAAUGCGUAGAUAUAUGGAGGAACACCAGUGGCGAAGGCGGCUCUCUGGUCUGUAACUGACGCUGAGGCUCGAAAGCGUGGGGAGCAAACAGG
rnacentral:rRNA from 1 species